rnacentral:rRNA from 1 species
UACGGGGGGGAGCAAGCGUUGUUCGGAUUUACUGGGCGUAAAGGGCGCGUAGGCGGUCGUGACAAGUCACUUGUGAAAUCUCCGGGCUUAACUCGGAACGGUCAAGUGAUACUGUCGGACUAGAGUACAGAAGGGGCAACUGGAAUUCUCGGUGUAGCGGUGAAAUGCGUAGAUAUCGAGAGGAACACCUGCGCGAAGGCGGGAU